AUCAAAGAAUUAAGGAAUUGAGUUUAUAAGAACCCGAGUCAACGGGACUUAAAAUAAAACGGGUUUUUAGCUCCCGGAACCCACCAAGUAACUAGGAGUAUUAACCUAGUUAGUUAAUGUCUUGACAAAAUAGAACUAAUGUGGUUAAGCUACCCUUUAAAUAACUUGUGUAAAGUGAAGGGACUAGACAUGGACAAUUGAAUUAAAGUUUCAAUUAAACAAAUUAAUAAACAAAACACACACAUACGUGUGUGUGUCUGCGACUUCAACCAGAGCCAAGAAGGGCUCUCUUGCUCAAAACCCUAAUCCCUCAAGAAUCUCUCAAAUUGAAGCCCAAAUCAAGAGCCAAAUCAUUGCAUGAACACAAAUUCGUGAUCACCUAGUCAUGGGGAUUACAAGUUGGCGCUUAAACAAGCUAGGUGAAGCUUGGAGUGAAAGCGGGUCAAACGAGUCAAGCAUAGAAGAAAAGCGUAGCUCGGAUGCAAGGUAAGUGUAAUUUACACACUUAUGUAGAAUGCUUGUUAUUUCGAUACUUAUGAACGUGAAAACAAUAAUAUUGGAAAUUUGGAAAAUUGUCAAGUGUUGACUUAUGUAAAUCAUGGUUAAAAAGGAUACCCAUGGCGUAAGCCGAAAUGGGUUGAAACUGCAAGAAAAGAGUGUAAAAGAAAAAGGGUAUGGUUAUAAAACCCGGGAUGGGAUGAUGUACAAAUUGGAAAUCAAAAACGGUGUUUUUGAUUUAAAUAGACAAUGUUGGGCAUAUAGUCCAAACGGGUCGAAUGGUGGUGAUAACACCAUUUGACAAUAUCGAUUAAUGUGGUCGUCAAGUCUUAUGUUAACAGGACUAAUUAGCAAAUCGGAUAGUUGCGUCAUCAUUGAUGGUGUGAUAAUAAAAGCGAGGCAUAAAUCGGGUCUAUUCGUUGAUCCGAGCCAGGUGUAUGCUGAGAGCCCGGAUGAAGAUCAAGCGUCAAGCUCAAUGAGGAACCGAACACAUGUUUGAUAAAGCUUCCGCAACGUUGUUGUGUCGUUAUUCUAAACGGCGAAUUAAAUCACAUUAUGUAUAUCGCUUAAAUUAUAAAAGUUUUUAACAAGCCCGUAUUUUCAUUAUAAUUGUGAUUGUAAUU